CCUACGGGUGGCAGCAGUAGGGAAUUUUCGGCAAUGGGCGCAAGCCUGACCGAGCAACGCCGCGUGAACGAGGAAGGUCUUCGGAUCGUAAAGUUCUGUUGAAGGGGAAAAAGGGCCGAUAGAGGAAAUACUUUCUGAUUGAUAGUACCCUUCGAGGAAGUCACGGCUAACUCCGUGCCAGCAGCCGCGGUAAUACGGAGGGGGCGAGCGUUAAUCGGAAUGAUUGGGCGUAAAGGGCUCGUAGGCGGCCUUGCAAGUCAGGGGGGAAAAGGACGCGGUCAACGUGGUACAGGCCUUGGAAACUGGCGAGCUAGAGAGUAGGAGAGGGCGGUGGAACUCCAGGUGUAGCGGUAAAAUGCGUAGAUAUAUGGAAGAACACCAGUGGCGAAGGCGGCCGCCUGGCCUGUUACUGACGCUGAGGCACGAAAGCGUGGGGAGCAAAUAGGAUUAGAUACCCGUGUAGUC
rnacentral:rRNA from 1 species